rnacentral:rRNA from 1 species
AUUGAACGCUGGCGGCAGGCCUAACACAUGCAAGUCGAGCGGAUGAAGGGAGCUUGCUCCUGGAUUCAGCGGCGGACGGGUGAGUAAUGCCUAGGAAUCUGCCUGGUAGUGGGGGAUAACGUCCGGAAACGGGCGCUAAUACCGCAUACGUCCUGAGGGAGAAAGUGGGGGAUCUUCGGACCUCACGCUAUUAGAUGAGCCUAGGUCGGAUUAGCUAGUUGGUGGGGUAAAGGCCUACCAAGGCGACGAUCCGUAACUGGUCUGAGAGGAUGAUCAGUCACACUGGAGCUGAGACACGGUCCAGACUCCUACGGGAGGCAGCAGUGGGGAAUAUUGGACAAUGGGCGAAAGCCUGAUCCAGCCAUGCCGCGUGUGUGAAGAAGGUCUUCGGAUUGUAAAGCACUUUAAGUUGGGAGGAAGGGCAGUAAGUUAAUACCUUGCUGUUUUGACGUUACCAACAGAAUAAGCACCGGCUAACUUCGUG